ACGCUGGCGGCAGGCCUAACACAUGCAAGUCGAGCGGUAGAGAGAAGCUUGCUUCUCUUGAGAGCGGCGGACGGGUGAGUAAUGCCUAGGAAUCUGCCUGGUAGUGGGGGAUAACGUUCGGAAACGGACGCUAAUACCGCAUACGUCCUACGGGAGAAAGCAGGGGACCUUCGGGCCUUGCGCUAUCAGAUGAGCCUAGGUCGGAUUAGCUAGUUGGUGGGGUAAUGGCUCACCAAGGCGACGAUCCGUAACUGGUCUGAGAGGAUGAUCAGUCACACUGGAACUGAGACACGGUCCAGACUCCUACGGGAGGCAGCAGUGGGGAAUAUUGGACAAUGGGCGAAAGCCUGAUCCAGCCAUGCCGCGUGUGUGAAGAAGGUCUUCGGAUUGUAAAGCACUUUAAGUUGGGAGGAAGGGCAGUAAAUUAAUACUUUGCUGUUUUGACGUUACCGACAGAAUAAGCACCGGCUAACUCUGUGCCAGCAGCCGCGGUAAUACAGAGGGUGCAAGCGUUAAUCGGAAUUACUGGGCGUAAAGCGCGCGUAGGUGGUUCGUUAAGUUGGAUGUGAAAUCCCCGGGCUCAACCUGGGAACGGCAUUCAAAACUGACGAGCUAGAGUAUGGUAGAGGGUGGUGGAAUUUCCCGUGUAGCGGUGAAAUGCGUAGAUAUAGGAAGGAACACCAGUGGCGAAGGCGACCACCUGGACUGAUACUGACACUGAGGUGCGAAAGCGUGGGAGCAAAC
rnacentral:rRNA from 1 species